AAGGCAUUCGUUUUGAAACUGGAUUGCGGAUAAUCGACGCCGAUCAUGAGUUCUAUAAAUCUGGAAGCCACUAAAGACUUGUUGCUGCUCUACGAGACGCUCAUGGAUGAAGAAGAGCAGCGCAACUUGCUAUGCGAGGAUCAGAUGCUGCUCAACUUUCUAGUCUACGUUCUGCAGGAGACGACAGAGGAUAUUGUGAUGCUAUCUCUCAAGGCAAGUUCGCACGCAGAGAAG